UCCCUGGUGGUCUAAUGGUUAAGACUCUGUGCUCCCAAUGCAGAGGUUCCAGGUUCCAUCCCUAGUCGGGGAA
rnacentral:tRNA from 1 species